CGGCAGCACGGAGAGCAAUCCUGGUGGCGAGUGGCGAACGGGUGAGUAAUACAUCGGAACGUGUCCUGUAGUGGGGGAUAGCCCGGCGAAAGCCGGAUUAAUACCGCAUACGAUCUGCGGAUGAAAGCGGGGGCUCCUUCGGGACCUCGCGCUACAGGGGCGGCCGAUGGCAGAUUAGCUAGUUGGUGGGGUAAAGGCCUACCAAGGCGACGAUCUGUAGCUGGUCUGAGAGGACGACCAGCCACACUGGGACUGAGACACGGCCCAGACUCCUACGGGAGGCAGCAGUGGGGAAUUUUGGACAAUGGGCGCAAGCCUGAUCCAGCAAUGCCGCGUGUGUGAAGAAGGCCUUCGGGUUGUAAAGCACUUUUGUCCGGAAAGAAAACCUCUGGGUUAAUACCCCGGGGGGAUGACGGUACCGGAAGAAUAAGCACCGGCUAACUACGUGCCAGCAGCCGCGGUAAUACGUAGGGUGCAAGCGUUAAUCGGAAUUACUGGGCGUAAAGCGUGCGCAGGCGGUUCGCUAAGACAGAUGUGAAAUCCCCGGGCUUAACCUGGGAACUGCAUUUGUGACUGGCGGGCUAGAGUAU
rnacentral:rRNA from 1 species